ACUCUCCAAAUCUCCUCCUCUCCUGGCGCCUGGGUGGAUUGUACUUCCCUGGCCCUGUGAAAUGUAAGUGGAGGUGUCAUAUAGCACUUCCUUGCUGAAGGCCAUUAAGAAGCACUGCUCCAUUGGAUGUUCUGUUUCCCUCCCCAGUGAACUGUGAACCUCAAUGUUGACGUUGUGACAUCAAAAGACAGUGGCACCGUGGGUCCCUGAGCGACUAAACUGGGCACAGCCACCUGCUGGCCCACACUGGAGACGUAGCAUGAAGGAGACACAGGCCUAUAUUGUACCAAGUCCCUGAGCACUGGGGGUUGUUUCCAUGGCCACAAAGCCCAGCCUAGCCUGACCUUGCCCAUGACCAUGCUCCCAUUAACUCUUGGGGACUUUAUAUUUGUUUUUGCAGACCUUUGCCCCAUGAGGUGCUACAAAUCCAUGUGUUUGUUUAAACUCCAACGAAACAUGCUCAUGUUUGUUUUAAGGUGGAAUAUCAUCACCAGGCUAGCUGGAAAUGCCUCCGCUAUGGCCACAGUUUCCCCCGUAUGGAUAUUUCCAGCUGCCAAAGCCAAGACCUGUAGAAACAUACUGCAUCAGAGAAGCCCCAGUGGCCUCCCGAAAUAAGAGGAAAUCACGGUGCGAAUGCGAGAGUCA